rnacentral:lncRNA from 1 species
GUCUUUAAUUGUCUCUGAAUAGUACGAUAAACAGUAGAAUAUAUUUCAAGGUCAUCCCAAAAUUAUUUCAUCAAUAUCAGGUAUUACAAAUUACAUGUAUACAAAACAGAAAGGUGUGCAGACUGCUGCACAUAUAUAUAGUUAUUGUUGUUGCUCAUUCUGCUAAGCUGUUACAAAGGUGUCACUGUUCUCUGCAAUAAACAAGUCUUAAAAGAAGUUAUUAAUUGUACAUAUGCAUUUAGAAGUAAAAUUUUGCAAGCUGGUGAUUGCACACACACAUACUUAUAUAUAGUUUCUUCAGUAUUUUUGUUAGGUUACUACCACAGUCAACAGCAUGGGGAAUUAAAGGCAAUUCCAGGAUAGGUUUAGAUGCAUGUUUCAUUAAUUAACAAUAUUUAUAUAUAAGCAUUGCAGAUCUUUACUUCUCAUUUAAAAUAUUUUCUAAUUUGAGAU